UACGUAGGGGGCAAGCGUUGUUCGGAAUUACUGGGCGUAAAGGGCGCGUAGGCGGCACGGCAAGUCGGGAGUGAAAGGCCUGGGCUCAACCGAGGAACUGCUUUCGAGACUGCCGAGCUAGAGUGCGGAAGGGGCAACUGGAAUUCCCAGUGUAGCGGUGAAAUGCGUAGAUAUUGGGAAGAACACCGGAGGCGAAGGCGGGUUGCUGGGCCGACACUGACACUGAGGAGCGAAAGCAUGGGGAGCAAACAGG
rnacentral:rRNA from 1 species